rnacentral:rRNA from 1 species
GGAGUUUGGGCCGUGUCUCAGUCCCAAUGUGGCCGGUCACCCUCUCAGGUCGGCUACUGAUCGUCGCCUUGGUGGGCCGUUACCUCACCAACUAGCUAAUCAGACGCGGGCCCAUCUCAUUCUGCCGGAGCUUUUCACACCGCUCCAUGCGGAGCUGUGCGCUUAUGCGGUAUUAACAGUCGUUUCCAACUGGUAUCCCCCUGAAUGAGGCAGGUUGCCCACGCGUUACUCACCCGUCCGCCACUCAGUUAAAAGUGCUUCAUACCGAAAUAAUCCGCUCAAUUAACCUCGUUCGACUUGCAUGUGUUAAGCACGCCGCCAGCGUUCAUC